CAUAGCUAGGCCCUUUGUGAAGCUUUGUACUUCGGCUAAGGUGCUGCUACGGUUACGGGACAACACCUUGGCUAGGUACAAUGCUCAACAUAUCGGCUACCUUCCCU